CGGCCGCGAGGCCCGCCCGGCGCUCGCGGGCUGGGGGCCGGAAAGCUGGGGCGACUCGGCGCCGCGACGCGAGGUCGGCGCCAGGAAGAGCCACGGGCGCGGAGCGUACCCCCGUACCCACACACACCCACGCCCCUGCGGCCUCGCGGGGGAGAGCCGCGGCCGGCUGUGCGAGAGCGGCCCUCUGAUUGUCCCCUCCCAGGAUCGCCGUAUGCUGGGAUCAUUCCGUUUCUGGGCCUGCUGCAGUCCCCCCUUCAGUACUUCCAACAUACGACCGCCGACUGUUAGACGGUGUGCUGCCAGACAACCAUUGCAAAAUAUCUCAUUUCUUGAACAUCGGGCUAUUUACCCAGAAAAAGCCGUCCCGUCGCUAUUUUUCAAGACCUUUCUCAUCUGACUCCUGACCUGAUAACUCCCCAGGAGUGCGGUAAGGAGAUGGAGUCUUGGAAUAUUGCCCAGGCUUGACUUCACAAACUCCUGGGCUCAAGCGAUCCUCCCGCCUCAGCCUCCCAAGUGGCUGGGACAUGCCACUGCACCCAG